ensembl:lncRNA
GGCUACACUGUGACAAGAAUUGUGCCCUGGAACCAGCUUGGAUUCCACAUUGCUAUGGCAACAGAUCACUCUGGUUGGGCUGGUUUCCUCCAAAGGACAAGAUAUGUGGCCAGCAGACAAGGCACCAUUGCCCGAUCAUGAAAAUGUUUCUGUUGUUUAUGAGUUAAUCUGAACUGUUCACGAGUGAAAACACUAUUGGUCCUCUGUGUCUAGUUUUUCUCUCAUCUCUUCUCUCCUUUUCAAGACAGCCAGCUUUCCAAUGAAAUUCACAUCCUAGAUAAGACCCUUGCUGCACGGGUAAGAUAGCAGACAUCAAGGCUCAUGGAUGAUAGAAAGAAGCUAGCAGCCAAACAUGAGAAGAGGAGCCUGGGACUCAGCAAAGACAUAGCUGAGCACAGUGUCCACAUUUCUGUAUGGCAGCCAGCUGGGUGCUGAGGAGGAAACUAUCUUUAGGGGACCCUAAGGUGGAACUUAAGAAAAAAAAAUAGAAAAAUCUUUCUUAAACGUGGCAGUGUUUUGAUGGAGGUCUCCUAGAAGUUUGGAUGAUUUUGAUGCAGUCAAUUUACCUCACUGGACCCCAACUUCCAUAUUAAUAAAGCAAAAGAAAUUAUCCA